rnacentral:misc_RNA from 1 species
AGCAGCCGCGGUAAUUCCAGCUCCAAUAGCGUAUAUUAAAGUCGUUGCAGUUAAAAGCUCGUAGUUGAAUUUCGGGAUCAGUACGCCGGUCGUGCCUUCGGUAUGCACUGGUGUCACUGGUUUCUCCCUUCUGAAGAACCAUCAUGCCAUUAAGUUGGUGUGGCGGGAAAUCAGGACUGUUACUUUGAAAAAUUAGAGUGUUUAAAGCAGGCUCGCGCUUGAAUACAUUAGCAUGGAAUAAUGAAAUAGGACGUUUGACCCUAUUUUGUUGGUUUCUAGGAUCGACGUAAUGAUUAAUAGGGAUAGUUGGGGGCAUUAGUAUUCAAUUGUCAGAGGUGAAAUUCUUGGAUUUAUUGAAGACUAACUACUGCGAAAGCAUUUGCCAAGGAUGUUUUCAUUAAUCAAGAACGAAAGUUAGGGAUCGAAGACGAUCAGAUACCGUCGUAGUCUUAACCAUAAACUAUGCCGACUAGGGAUCGGAUGGUGUUAAUUUUUAAUGACUCAUUCGGCGCCUUAACC